AAGUCGUAACAAGGUUUCCGUAGGUGAACCUGCGGAAGGAUCAUUAACACGUAUCCAACGUUAAACAACCCUGUGAACCUUGAACGUGCUCUCGCACACGCUCUAGCAGCAAUCCCUGGUAAAUCAUUGUUGACCAGCUAUUGAGUCAGGGACCUCUGCUUUAAAACGAUGCGAUACGAGCGCCAGAGUAAGUGCGGCCUGGCAUCCUAGCAAUCUGUCAGUGGUUGCGCAAGGAUGGCGCAGUAAACGAUCGCUGUAGGCCCACACGGCCGGCGACCGGGCCAUUGUGCUUCGGCACCUAACGACCCCAUGUUUCGUACCCGGUGCGCUGUAACAACCGCACCACAAACUCGAACAACUGUUAACAAUGGAUAUCUUGGUUCUC
rnacentral:misc_RNA from 1 species